GCAAAUUUACCCCAAGGGUCACAUUAUCACUCCUCUUUUACCUGGAGAACUCCCUCACAAAACUCCUCAGUUAGCCACUCCUGUUUGCUAGUUCAGAGGGACUAUUUUACUCUUCAUUUGCAUCUCUAGUCUGUGUUUUCCCAUGUCUGACCCUGUUCCCUUCAUGAAGAUCCCCUUGUCUAUGCACAACUUGGAGUGCUGGUAUGAGCUGCUGAUGCCCUCUCCCAGCCCAUGGCAGCCCGAGGAUAUCCUUCCAGCUAGGAGGAGAACACGGGCUGGUGUUUGCAGAAGAGCUAUGAAGGCCCUAAUGCAGAGAGGGGCUCAGGAAGGCCCCAAACAAGCAUCCAGAGACAUUGCUUUCUGGACUUAACUAUGCAGCACUGGCAAGAGGAGGCUGAUCCCAUGCCUUCCAGAUGGUGAGCAUAGCCCAAAGACAUUCCAGAGGCAGGAGAUUCCAGUACUCUAGCUGCCUCGUCAACUAGAAAGAGGCUCCAGCAUACAUCGUUGUUGACUAUUAUAACCCCGGAGCUAACGCUGGAAUUUAAAAUAGGUACUAUCA